rnacentral:rRNA from 1 species
UACGUAGGGGGCAAGCGUUGUCCGGAUUUAUUGGGCGUAAAGAGCGUGUAGGCGGCCGUGUAGGUCUGACGUGAAAUCUGGGGGCUCAACCUCCAGCUGUCGUUGGAAACCGCCCGGCUAGAGUCCGGAAGAGGAGAGUGGAAUUCCUGGUGUAGCGGUGAAAUGCGCAGAUAUCAGGAAGAACACCUAUGGCGAAGGCAGCUCUCUGGGACGGUACUGACGCUGAGACGCGAAAGCGUGGGGAGCGAACAGG